UUAAGUGUUAAUGAUAUUAAUCAUGUACCUGGAAAACGAAGAUUUACGCAGGUACAUUAUUGAAGACUCACAAGGGAAUGGAUACGCUAAUGAUAUGCUUAAAGUUGUACGAAUCACGGGUGGUUAUCACGAGGAAUAGAGCUCGAAGAGCGAGUCACAAGCUAGAUUGUACGGGAAUAACUGAAUAUGUAUUAUUAGUAAUCAGGGCUUAUGCUUUAUUUUUUUGUAAAAGAUACAUAUUAAAACGUACUUUCAAGUAAGUCAUGACGUUAAUAAUGAAAGAAA